GUGGUUUCAGAGCUCCCAGAACUUUGCACAUAACUCCCUAUGUCAGAGUGGGCAGAAAGGGUGAAAAUCAGCUUUGAGGUCUUCAGUUAUUUGCUGGACAAUUCCCUGAUGAUAUUAAAGCACCCAGUAGAAGAAUGUGCCUUAUCAAAAACAUAUAUCAAUCAUGAUGAACCUUUAAAAUAUAUUAGUUGAUUGCUUACGGCUGUUUUAGACUAAAAGACCAACACAAAAUGGGUUAAAGACGCUAACCACUUUCAAACAACCAUCUGAGAAAACUAAUUCCCAACGUAUUGGAGUAGAUGAGAGAAUAAAAGGUGUGUUAUUGAAAGGGAAUUUGGAACAAGUAAUCGUUCUGAAUGUGUGUACAUCAGAGACUCCUCAAAGCCUGCCUGGCAAUCUGUUUUUUAUGGUCUCUUCUCCUCAACAG
rnacentral:lncRNA from 1 species